GUCAGCUCUGCUUAGCUUUCUGACAAAGUCCCAGAUAUUCCCGAGACGUUUCACUGCAAUCCAGUCUGCUACCUGGAAGUCAGAUUGCCUAACUCCACUUGUCACCGGUCACUGAGGGCAGGGAGAGGACCACCCUGUUGCACAAUGAGGACAGAUCUGCUAGGACCUGAUUACUGAAAAUCGCCUCAAAGAAUGUGGGAGCACCCCUGGGACUGUUCUACACAGGCUUGUUGCUUUAGGGUCUCUUGUUUUGUCAGCAUCGUCUGAAAAUAAUGAAUAAUCCAAGAUUUGCUAUUGUGGCUACCCACUGGCUUUGCUUUCUAGAAACACAUCCAAUCCUGACCUGUCCUCUAAUGACCUAGUGCACAGGAUUAAGAACAAGUCUAUGGUGAAAUCAGAAGAAUCACUGAUUUGGGAAGAUCUCAAGCAGGGCAGCAGCCUCCUGCCUGCCGGUGACCUGCACAUGCCGGGACUUCUUCUCGUCACUGACCUCCCUCAGC